rnacentral:ncRNA from 2 species
GACAAUUAGAUACAAAAAGGUGCCUUAGGACAUAGAGAAUGUUGGCUAAGGAGAAUAGGGAAACAGGUGAAAAACCUGUACGGUCCCGCCGCUGUGAGGAGAGAGUAGUAUCCUGUUCGGCUGUUUAUUUUUUACUCAAUUGAAAAAAUAAAUGAAGAUAAAAAAUCACUGUAUAUUGGAUAUAUGGGAAGAUAGAAUACUAUGUGGACAUCCAAGUCAGAAGACCUGCCUUUUUGUAAGUACACAA